rnacentral:rRNA from 1 species
AACGAACGCUGGCGGCAUGCCUAACACAUGCAAGUCGAACGAGACCUUCGGGUCUAGUGGCGCACGGGUGCGUAACGCGUGGGAACCUGCCCUUAGGUUCGGAAUAACUCCCCGAAAGGGGUGCUAAUACCGGAUAAUGUCUUCGGACCAAAGAUUUAUCGCCUUUGGAUGGGCCCGCGUUGAAUUAGCUAGUUGGUAGGGUAAAAGCCUACCAAGGCGACGAUCCAUAGCUGGUCUGAGAGGAUGAUCAGCCACACUGGGACUGAGAAACGGCCCAGACUCCUACGGGAGGCAGCAGUGGGGAAUAUUGGACAAUGGGCGAAAGCCUGAUCCAGCAAUGCCGCGUGAGUGAUGAAGGCCUUAGGGUUGUAAAGCUCUUUUACCCGGGAUGAUAAUGACAGUACCGGGAGAAUAAGCUCCGGCUAACUCCGUG